AACGCACGAGACCUGCGGACCUGCGGAGGGAUCAUUAAUGAGAAACUGCCCCUCGCGGGUGGAUCUCCCACCCUUUGUAAACUUACCUUUGUUGCUUUGGCAGGCCCGUCUCCGGACCGCCGGCUUCGGCUGGCCAGUGCCUGCCAGAGGAUUCUAAAACUCUGUCUGUCAGUGUUGUCUGAGUCUAUAUACAAUCGUUAAAACUUUUAGCAACGGAUCUCUAGAUCGGAAGAGCACACG
rnacentral:misc_RNA from 1 species